UACAGAGGGGGCAAGCGUUGUUCGGAAUUACUGGGCGUAAAGGGCGCGUAGGUGGCCUUCUAAGUUGAACGUGAAAUCCCUGGGCUCAACCCAGGAACUGCGCCCAAGACUGGGAGGCUUGAAUCCGGGAGAGGGAUGCGGAAUUCCAGGUGUAGCGGUGAAAUGCGUAGAUAUCUGGAGGAACACCGGUGGCGAAGGCGGCAUCCUGGACCGGUAUUGACACUGAGGCGCGAAAGCCAGGGGAGCAAACGGG
rnacentral:rRNA from 1 species